GCGGGCAAGUGUUCGGGUGGACACGGCUGGCUCAUAACCAGCUACCUAGAUGGGUUCGAGUCCCAUGCCCGCU
rnacentral:tRNA from 2 species